GAUAAUUAUGAGUGAUGGCCA
rnacentral:siRNA from 1 species